rnacentral:rRNA from 1 species
CCCUUAGAUGUCCUGGGCUGCACGCGCGCUACACUGAUGUGUCCAGUAAGCACCUAACCUCUUCCGAAAGGAACGGGUAACCUUUGCAAAGCACAUCGUGAUGGGGAUAGAUUAUUGCAAUUAUUAGUCUUGAACGAGGAAUUCCUAGUAAGCACAAGUCAUCAGCUUGGGUUGAUUACGUCCCUGCCCUUUGUACACACCGCCCGUCGCUCCUACCGAUUGAAUGUUCCGGUGAGCUCUUCGGACUGCGCGGUCUGCAGUUUCUGCGUUCCGUGCGGAAAGUUGCGCAAACCUUAACAUUUAGAGGAAGGAGAAGUCGUAACA